rnacentral:rRNA from 1 species
ACUAGCUGUAUAAAGAGUCGAACCUGCCCAGUGAUAGUAUUUAACGGCCGCGGUACUCUGACCGUGCAAAGGUAGCAUAAUCAUUUGCCCUAUAAUUGAGGGCUUGUAUGAAUGGUUUGACGAGAGCAAAGCUGUCUCUCUAGAAUUUUUCAGAAUUUGGUUUUUAGGUGAAGAAACCUAAAUUUAAUUGAAAGACAAGAAGACCCUAUCGAGCUUAAAACAAAUUUAUUAAAAAGUGUGGCUAUAAUUAAUCAAUUUUAGUAAAAAAUUUUGGUUGGGGCGACUAAGGAACAAAAAAAGCUUCUUUUAUUUUAAGAUACCGAUAAGUUUUGAUCCAGAAAGUCUGAUUAAAAGAAUUAGUUACCGUAGGGAUAACAGCAUAAUCUUUCUUGAGAGUUCUUAUCGAAAGAAAGGUUUGUGACCUCGAUGUUGGACUAGGAUAUCCUAAUAGAUGCAGAAGUC